rnacentral:rRNA from 1 species
UACAGAGGGUGCAAGCGUUAAUCGGAAUUACUGGGCGUAAAGCGUGCGUAGACGGUUAUUUAAGUCAGGUGUGAAAGCCCCGGGCUCAACCUGGGAAUUGCAUUUGAGACUGAAUAGCUAGGGUGCGGAAGAGGGAAGCGGAAUUUCCGGGUGUGAGCGGUGAAAUGACGUAGAUAUCGGAAGGAACACCGGUGGCGAAAGCGGCGCGCUGGACCUCUUCUGACGCUGAGGCGCGAAAGCCAGGGGAGCAAAGCGGG